UUUGUUAUAAUUUUGGAAUUGGAUUUAUACUUAUGGUAUGGUUUUAAUUUUAGAUUUUUUUAUUUUUUUGGUUGCAUUACUUCUUUUGCUCCCGUUGCUUUUCUAAAAACAGAAGAAGAGAAUUUCCUGAACUUGGUUUGUACAGAGAAAGUGAGUUCUUCGGGACUCAUCUACGGGGGAUGUUCGAUGGUUCUCACUAGAUUGGCAAAAGAGUUCAAUUUCAGAUGCGUCCUUGAUUUGUUUCUGAGCUUCUCUAUUUUACUUUCUGGGAUCUUCUGGUUCCUUCCUUACCAUGCAAUGGAGUCUGGGUUCGAUGCAACAGAGGCAGUUAGGCUCAGUGAUGGGUAUUUGAAAUUUUUGCAUAUUGGUAUUUAAUAGUGUGGUGUGUUACUUUGGAUUGUAAUGGGAUUCUUAAAAAUGGUGGUGUAAAGUUCCAUUUCUUCGGAUCUUUCUUUUCAUAUUCUGGGCCAGUUUUUUGUUUUUUUCCUUAAUGUUUUUUAUCAGUUUCUUUUCUUUUUUCUUACGAUUUUGGUUUUCUUUUGUUAUUUUCCAAUUUAUCUUCAAUGGUCUAAUUAUUAUUUUUUUCUUUCUGAUGGUUGGUUGUUCCUUUACAUUCUUUUUUUUUUUUUUU